rnacentral:rRNA from 1 species
GACAGAGGGUGCAAACGUUGUUCGGAAUUACUGGGCGUAAAGCGCGUGUAGGCGGCUAAGUAAGUCGGGCGUGAAAUCCCACGGCUCAACCGUGGAAGUGCACUCGAAACUGCGUAGCUAGAGUCCUGGAGAGGAAGGUGGAAUGCUUGGUGUAGAGGUGAAAUUCGUAGAUAUCAAGCGGAACACCGGUGGCGAAGGCGGCCUUACUGGACAGUGACUGACGCUGAGACGCGAAAGCGUGGGGAGCAAACAGGG